CGAUUUAGCUCAGUUGGUAGAGCAACGCCCUCGUAACGCGUAGGUCAAAGGUUCAAGUCCUUUAAUCGGC
rnacentral:tRNA from 1 species